rnacentral:rRNA from 1 species
CAAUAGCGUAUAUUAAAGUUGUUGCAGUUAAAAAGCUCGUAGUUGGAUUUCGGGGCAGCCUGGCUGGUCCGCCGCAAGGUGAGUACUGGUCAGCCGCCCUUCCUCUCGAAAGCCCCGACUGCUCUUUAUUGCAGUGGUCGGGUAGUUCGGGACGUUUACUUUGAAAAAAUUAGAGUGUUCAAGGCAGGCCUACGCCUGAAUACAUUAGCAUGGAAUAAUGGAAGAGGACCUCGGUCCUAUUUUGUUGGUUUCCAGGACCGAAGUAAUGAUUAAGAGGGACAGUUGGGGGCAUUCGUAUUUAAUUGUCAGAGGUGAAAUUCUCGGAUUUAUGAAAGACGAACAACUGCGAAAGCAUUUGCCAAGGAUGUUUUCAUUAA